CUGUAUAUUUGAUUGAGGUGGAAUCUCAUCUCUUCUCUCGUUCUGGUUGGCCAUAAAGGCUUUAAACAUCUCCAUAGCACUGUUGACAACAUUAAACAUUUGACCCACCUCGGGAGAUAUAGUUUCCUAAGACGGAGCUGUUGGGGGCGGUACUGGAUCCUGAGGUACUGGAUCAUUAUGCUCCACCCCUUCUUCAUGUUCAACCCGGGGUACUUGAACCCCCUUUGUGGAUUUACCCUUCCUUUUCUGAGUUGAAGCCUUUUUAGUUCUGCCUUGAGCCACAAUAGUAGCAAUAGUUUCUUGAGCAGCAUCCUGAGUGUCGGUGUCAGGGUUGCGAGUAUGAGCCAUCUCUGCGAGGUUUAAAGAAACGAAUACAUUAGAUAGUUUCUUAGAGGUAGGAUCUACUGCACGAUCUAAUGUAUGAAAAAAAAUGAGACUUUUUCCUAAAUGCGUGUAGCCUCCUGUUUAUAAGUAUGACGCACUUCAUACACAUAAACAAGACACUCCUAACACGGCUUCAUAGACCCCUAGGACUCCAUAAACCUGAGGCUCUGAUACCAAGUUUGUCACGACCCAUUUUCUGAACAAGCCGAGAUCGGCACUCGAUCACUAAACAUGACCGAGCGAACCAUCUCUACUUAUCAAAUCUAUUAUAACUCAAAACCUUAUAUGCAACAGAGCAAUGCUCUAACCAAAUACUUUUGAUUAAUUUAAAUAUUUAAAUAAAUCAACUCCAAAACUUUAUUUGUAGUAACUACUGAAUUACUGCUAAGUUAUUAUCAAAAACAUUUUAAUCUUAACCCAACGACUAUGUCUAUAAAGCAUUUAUUGAUAAACUGACGCACUGCUCAGGACAUGAGAUUUCCUGGUCAGUUCUCUAAGUAAACAAAGAAAUAAUUAAAUAAAGAUGACUCUAAGGAAUACUUCACGAACAAAAGUAGAGCUCACCACUAGCACUGGAAGAGAAGGAAGUUCGAACCCGUAGCCUGCUCGGCUGCAAAAUCGGUUCCUACAUUGUACCACAGACCAACGUAGGUUCCCAAAAGAGAAUGCUAGUACCAUCCAUUAUACUCAGUGAGUCUAAACAACAGGGGCGAAACUUUAAUAACAUAUACGUUAAGAGAAAAGGUUCUAAAUGCAUGUAAACAUAAAGCUUAUAAGAAUAAUUCUAAAUAAUUGCAUAAUAGCAGUUUAUGAAUAUUCUAAAAGAAAUUCUUUUCUUUCUUAUAAAAAAAUACUUCACUUUAUACUUUGGGAGUUCCAACUAUCCUGACUUAAUUCUGUUUCAGUCAUCGUGUGAUCGGCACGGGUUCGAUCCCAACCUGAUCGAAUAGGCCCAAUCCACGAGGUGCCACUCGCUUUAUGGUUCUCAGCGCUCAUGUAUCAUACCUUAGCAUGGCUAAGUAAAUCCUCAGCAAUGAGACCCUCGGCUUAUGUGCUUCCUACUUUGGCACAAGUAGUUUCAGGAAGUCAACGCCUUGUCAGGAGCCUCGGCCUGGACGAUGAUCCCUUCUCAGAAUAGAGGAUACUCCCAAAAAAAUUUCUUUCUAAAACUUCUUCUUGUGACUUUUCAAGUCUAAAUCUUUCAUAUAUACUUAUUCUGGAAUCCUUGUCCAAAGUCUAAACCAUAUAACAAUGUAUAUAUAGUAGCGUCUUUAACUAGAGAUAAUAAUUACUGUCCAACUCUAGCAUAAGUCUUUUUUUUCAUAUAGACACCAAUGUAGCUUUCUCAAAGAUAGAAAUCAUGCACAAUCCCUUUCCUGAAGAAGGGACAUCAAAAAACCUAAUAAUACAAAAUGCCAAAGAUCUAUAAAAUAAAGCUAAUAAAGAAGUAAGUAAUCAAAGACGCAUGUCAUUAUUCCAAAUGUAAGAUCUUUAUAGAUAAAUUCUCACUCCUAAAUCAUGUUCAAUCUGUAUGCUCAUACAAGGAUAGUUCAAUUACAAAGAUACAUGCUGGAAAAGGGAAAAGACAUGCCUUGUGUAGAUAAAACCAACAAUGUAGAAACAAUUCUCUUACAUGCAUGGUAUGGGUUUUCCCACUGCUCGUAACCCCAUAUGCAAAGAUCGUGCUAUAUCAAAAUAAUCAUCUAAACUUUAGCUAGAAAAUAAUUCUAAGCUAAUAGGUACUUACUACUCCAAUUAAGUAUAUAUUAACUCUUUUAUGCAAUUCAUCAAACACCUUGUAUGCGUGCUUUUAUGAGUUAAACCACUUUAGUAAAGGGUUAUAUCAACUCACCUCAAUACUCCUUGAGCCAAAACGUAGACCCCUGACCAAUUUAUACCCGUCAAACAAUUGAUUCUACAACAACUAGUGUGUUUUAUUUGAUUUCAAAGUUUCACACCUAAACAUGAAAUUUGAUGUUGAUACAGAGAAAGAAAGGAAUUAACUAUUCAAUUCUUACCUAUUACUACUAUGGGGUAAUUGACAGUAGGGAAUUUCACAUACAUGAGUUCAAGAAUUUGUGAUUAGUAAGAACCCUAGAAUUUUCUGUUGCUUGCGUGAGUAUUUUCACUGGGACGUGCGUCUGUUUCUUAUACGCAAAAAUCUGCUUGGAGUUUCUUUUUCGUUCGAAGGAGUAAGGCUUUAAGCCUGCUUACGCUUUUCAACAGCUUUUAUGGGCUUAAGGGCUUUGGUUAUUUUGUCCCCCUUUUUUUUGGUUUUUAUUUUUAUUUUUUAUUUAUUUAUAACUUAACUAAUAAUUAAUGAUACCCACUUUUAAUAAUUAAUAAUAUUAAAAUUAUUAAUAUUCCCUAAUUGUAUAGCCACUUAUUUAUAAAUAUAUAUAUGUAAGUCAAAAUCACUCACAAGGGUUUAAAUCCGUAAUAGAAGUAUAAUUUAUGGGGGAAAAAAUUAAAUUCUAUAUUUAGCAAGUCUUGAAAUUUAUAUAAAUUUGAGGAGUGUUACAGGUUGUGUCCGAUAUAAGUUUUUUUCGUGCUGUCUGUGUUGUCUAAUUGAACGGGGUCGAGGUCUUCUACGGUUUCCUUGCAGGCUUCUACGACAUCCGGGUCUUUGAUCGCCCGGGUUUGGUUCCCGAUAUGGCUGAUUGCUAUACUUCCGCACUUGUCCCCUUUAGUUGUUGGGUGUGUGUGCAGUUUUGGGCGAUUCGGUAGCAUUCAUGGCCGGUGUGUUGUUCGCCCCGGAUGCUGAAUAUUCCCCAUGGGGUAGAAAAUUUGAUUACUUGAUAGAAACUUGACGGGACGGCUCGUAUGGCGUGUAUCCAUGGACGCCCUAUGAUAGCGUUGUAGGCUGCUUCCUGGUUCAUGACGUGAAACGUCAUUUCCAAAGUGACUCCUCCUUCCAGAACGGGUAGCACUAUCUCCCUAGAGGUGCAUUCCACUGCAUUAUUAAAACCCGUUAGUGUUAUCCAACGCGGUACUAUCUUAUCCUCAAGCCUCAUCUGUACGAGGUCUCGGGGAUGAAUAAUACAUGUGCCACUUCCGUCAUCUACCAUUAUUCUUUUUACAUCGGUAUCCACAAUAUGUAAAGUUAUAACCAAAGCAUCAUAGUGAGGGAAAGACAAACCGUUGGUAUCUGACUUAUCGAAGAUGAUACUAUCUUCGAGGUCGUCAUACCAUUCGUGAGAGACAGUCCACUUGAGUUUGUGUGUGGUGGUGAAUUUCACAUGGUUUAUUACUGUAUCAUCGCCGCUGCCAAUGAUCAUUUGUAUGGUACGAGCUGGUGAAGGUGGUUUUGGUGGUCCUUGAGGUUGAUCGCGUCCACGAGUGAAGUUAACCCGUCCUUGAUCGCUCAGCAGUUCUUUCAGGUGUCCCUAGUUUAGCAUUCUUACCGCUUCCUGUCGCAGACUUAUGCAGUCUUCAGUCUUGUGUCCCCUUUCCUGGUAGAAUUCACACAGAAUGUUAGAUCUCCGGGUUCUCGAAUCUAACUUCAUUUUUUGUGGCCACUGCACCUUUGUGCCGAGCUUUUCUAGUGCAUACACUAUUUUUGAAGGAGAAACGCAAAAGUUAUGAGUAGAUAAUAGUGGAGGCAUACCUCUUUCGUUUUAAUGUGGCACGGUGUGUCGAGGAGUGACAUCUGUAUGUUGUGGAGGAGGUGGGAUGGACGUCCGGAUGUAGGGCUGAUGCCUUUCUCGAUUGAAAUGGGAUAGUUGAUCCCUUUGACCAUCGUUGCGGCGAUCUCUCCUUGUUUCGGUCUGGACCGAUGUUAGCCAUUGGAUCGGACCAUUUAGGUCGUCCUCGUCUGCCCUUAUUUCGGCAUAGUAGGCAUUAUGGAUUUCUUCCCACGUGGUGGGAGGAUACUUCAUAAGUCUACUCAGCAGCUUUUUGGUUGUUUUCGACCCGUUUCUAUUUAACCCAUUUUGGAAGGCUGCUACUGCCAUCCCUUUGAUACAUUAGGUAGGCUCAUUCUUACCCUAUUGAAUCACGCUAGGAAAUCCCGAAGUCCUUCGUAUGUGGUCUGCCUAACGGUGAAGAUGUCAUUUACCCUAGCUUCUGCUUUUUUCGCUCUCGCGUGAGCAGUGACGAAUUUAUCCGCCAUUUCUUCGAACGUUAAUAUGGGUCGUGCUGGUAGUUGGGAAUACCACGUUAGCGCUACCCCUGUCAGGGUUUCGCCGAACUUUUUCAGCAGUACCGAUGACACCUAUUCUUUUGACAGAUCAUUGCCUUUAACUGCCGUGACGUAGUGGAUUAUGUGAUCUUCCGGGUCUGUGGUGCCAUCAUAUAUUUUCAAGAUGGCGACAUUUUGAAGUUUUUUGGAAUAGAGUGGGGAGUUGCCCCUUCACUGUAUGGUUGCUCAACGAAUCAGCCUACGUCACAUUUUGGCAGCAACUUCGGAGCGCCCGAUAUUUUACCGACCCUUUCUUGAUGCUCCUUCAUUUGAUCACGGAGUGUUUUGUUCUCGUUUUCCAUUUCUUCCAUUUUCUUUAAGAUGGUUGCAAGUGCAUCGUUGCUUGCAUCAAUGACAGUAUGAGUGCUACCUGUGCGUGGAGUUUCUGGCUCAUCAGUGGCAAUUGCGGUUUCUGCGUAUAUUGUGCCUCCGAUAUCCCUUUGAACGAGUUUGUCGAGUAUGUUGUUCAAGGUAUUUGUCAACCACUCUUCUAAUAGCCUUUUCACAGCCGGUGGUGCUUCUCCUGCUGCAGAUGUUGAGAUUUCCCUCUCGCGCGAGACAGUUACACUUUCAUGCGGGGGGGGGGGGGGGUAUCUCCCUCAGGUGUAGCUCUUGGCGUUGCGUUUUCAUUGUCUUCCUUGCCGGCUUCGUUGAUGGAAUUCAGAAGGUUGUUCGUGACACCUACUAUUGCCUUUAAUCUUGCUUCCCCCUUUCCUGCCAUUGUUGGUCUUUGCGAGGCUAAGAAGAGGUGAUUAUCCCUUUCACGGAUCUAGACAAAACUAAAAUCUCAGCUAUAGAAAUCCCCACAGACGGCGCCAAAUUAUUUGACUCAAAAGAUAUUGGAAACUUUUUGAACAAAUCAAUCAAAGAAAAUGAAGGGAUAAAUCUUAGCUAAGUAUAAUAAACUCUAAAACCAUGUGUAUAAAAGAUGAACAUAAUGGAUAAUAUUUCUUGAUCUUGCGAGAAUGAAUGAUGGAGCAUUAAGGAUGCCAAUCGUUUAUGUAGAAAAGUAUUACGGUCAGUGUUCUUAGCUAGAAAAGCAAAAAGGCCCUUUUACAAUGUUGUUUUUCAACUAUAUAUAAGGGACAAACCCCUUCUAAACCCUAAAAACAUAUCAUAGGGAAUAUUCAAAAGAAUAUCCCUAAUGCCCCAUAUUGGGCCUACAGUAAAAGACGUACAGUCUCUGUUCGCUUGUUUGUCAUCCUCCACAGGACGUCGAGCUACGAAGAUCUCGUCGUAUUUGUCAAUGAUCGUGGUCGUCCAAAUUUGGACCCAUACAGGUCUUAUUUAAGGUGAUGGCACCAGCAAAUACGGUCCUUUUUCUAGGGACAUAGGAAAAAGAAAGGAUACAAAAAGUAAAAAAGAAAAUAAAAAAGAGGGAGAGAAAAAAAAGGGAGAAGACGCUAACACGACAUAGGAUCAGAAAGCAAAUUUGCCAACUAAACCUGCCCCAUUAAUUUUCUUUAUAUAUAUUCCCAUUUAGUUCUGGGUAAAGGAUAAUUUUAUAAAAUUGAAUAGACGAUUACUGCAACACAUGUUUUAUAAAAAAACUUACAAACUAAUUAAAAGAAAACCAAAAACAAAACAUAUUAUAUAUUAAAUGUAUAAAUAUAUUAGUACCAUACAAAAUGUUGAGAGAGUAGUACUUAGGAAGCAACUUUACUGCGCACUCGACUUUUUUAAUCUUCUGUUCAGGCGGGGCAGUAUUCAACUUUGAUAAAAUUAAAUGUAGAGGAAAUUGCUGAGAACUAACAUUAGCUACUAGGGUUCAUAAUAUCUUUCUCCUAGCUGUCAUGGAAAAUGUAAAAGUUUUGAAUACUUUAUGCAAUAAAAGUAAGUUAUGAAAAAUAUAAUUAAUUGUCUUCUCGUCAACUAACCCAUUCACAUUGAUUUAAUUAAUUAAAUAGGGGUAGCUUUUAAAUUAGGAUGAAGUUUCUUUGAGAGGUGUUUUGUCCACACUUCUCCAGCAUGACAACAGCCUAGCAACAGUACAUAUAACUUUGGUGUUAUGUGAGCAAUAUUUUGUCUCUUCAUUAACCCCCAUACAUACAAAAAUAUACUCAUUUUACUACUAAUUAACUGGUUUGAACUGCAUAACAACGAAGGCAAUGAGGUAUAAGAUUUCAAAAACGAUCUGGCUAAAUAAAUUUUGGGUAAAUGCUAAGAUUUCCCUGUCUUUUCUACCUUUGAAUAUUACUUAUAAUAGAGACACAUAUAGGGAGUAUAAUUGUUUUUUCUUAAAAGAAAAUAACAGCAAACAUGCUUAUAAUAAUAACUUCUAUUCGUGAUUCAUACGAAGGAAGUAAUGAAUACAUAAUAGUGGACUGUAUACAGUUUUCCCAGUAUAAUAAACACGAUGCAUCUAUUAAUUUGUUUCCCAAUUAAUUAACUAUACAAUUCAAUAUGCUUCUCUCGAUCUCAAAUAGCUAGAUGAAUUGAAUCGGUUAAGAGGUCAAAUUGACUGAUCAUCAAUUUGGUUGUAUAUAUUGCAUUGAUGUUGAAACAAAUUAAAAUUUUAAUUUAGAAAAUGCGUGCAGUGGUUUAUGGGCUCGAGAAACAAAAGGUCGAACCAUCGGAGAAGGACGAGUUGUAUCAAAUUUCGAGUUCAAAGUUCAAACAAUCAUCCUCUAACUUAAUCGAGGAAAAAAGAAAUCACCAACUGUGAUUUCGGACUAUUAAAGGCAACUUUUCGAGUUCUGAAUAAAUUAUUUAUACAUAUUUAUUAGAUUAUUUAAUAGAAUUUUAGCCAAACGGGUUAUAUAUAUCAAAUCUAUAACUAGAACUCUAGCUCCACAUACGGAAUCGGUGUACGAAGAUUUGCGUGUCUUUUCCCAUUGUUCUCCUUGCUAUUUGCAUUUGUCAUGUAACUUAGAGGUGGCAAAAUCAGCGGAUUAAAUGAGUUACAAAUGAAUAAUGACACAUUCUUUUGUGAUUUUCCUUCGUUUUCUUAGAAAACUUCAAAUGUGUAGUUCAUUAAGCAUAUAGUUCUAUUCUUCUAUUUUCAUCUGAACGUUCUUCAACGUUUUCUUGGAUUGGCGGUUGGAAAUUCAUACCGAUCACCAGUGUGAAAGAAACACUAUAAAAAACAAUCUUUCGAAUUUAAAAUGGUUUGUUAUAACUACGAAUUUCAUUUUAGUGAUGUAGUGCAUAAAGAGCGAGUUUAAUUGAAACCAAUAUUUUAGAUACGAAAUAUAGAUUAUAUUAAAAAUUACUCUAAGUUUAAAACAAAUUGCAUUAUGAAUCCAUCAUUCUAAAUGAGUUCAGUGAUAAGAAACCUAGCUAAAAGUUAGAACCAUCAAAUUAAAAUUUUGAAUCCGUCUCAGCUCGUCAAAUGCUUUAAGAUAGAAGAAAUUAUAUUAUGGUGAACGGGGACUACCUAGUAAAUAUGAACGAGCCAAAAGUGAAGGAAAACACGAACCAAUAAAUCAGACACUAACUUUUAACAUAUUUUUCCUAAAUCAAUUUAAACUCCAAAAUUCACAACUUAUGUUACUUGACAAGAGAGAAGGUUCACGAAAAACAAAACUAUAAUCAUCUAGGAAGACUCCACUUACAGUAUAUAUAAUUCUUAACAUGAAAAAAGAUACAUAUCUUUUCAUUAACUCUGUUAAGUAACACAUCAUCAUUGCACUGAGAAGGAACCAAAACUAUAAAAUGUUGUACCCUAUAUAUUAAAAGGUAAUUGUUUUUCCCGAUAAUCAUUCACAAUUUCCACGAACAUAGUUCAUACAGACGUGGCCUAUUUUCGUACUAUAUUUUUCUUUUGUCUAAAUUGGCUAGCUAAAAACUAUUAAAUAAUAAAACAGAUCUUAUUAAAUCAAAACCAAGAAGAAAAUAAAAAUCUCAUGCUGCUGUAGUUCUUAGUCUUGUUAUCACCCUUCCUCUCAUUGUUCUUGAAUGCGUCAAUCCUUCAUCCUUUCUAUUUCUCCUUGAAUUUAAUAAUUUAGACAAAAACCCUCCUUUCUUCUUAUUCCCAUUACUCUCUUCCAAUAUUCCACCUUCUCUUCUUCUCAUUAUUAAAGCCAACGAUCUACUCUUUAUAAGCACAUUAUUGUCCAUUCUAUAACGAAGUGGAGAAGAACACGAGGAUACAUCCGAAGACGAAGACAAAGACGACAAAGAAGAAGAAGAAGAAGUAGUAGUAAUAGUUGUAGUAUUACUUCGUGAAAUUUUUGAAAGCAGAGAGAGUUUUUCACUAAGACAGACAGAGCAAACCCCGGGGUUUUGCUUGUGUUUAGGGUGCUUCUUGCAGAUUAUAGAAUUGGACUUUGCUUUGCUUUUGCUGAUUUGCAUCUGAUUCUUGGAAAAUCUCCUUCUGUUUUCCAUGGUAUUGGUUUUGGCUAGAUGUUCUUGGAAAUGAAGGGGGCGUGAAGGUAUAUAUAAGUAUUAAAAAGAAUGUUGGCAAAAGAGGUUUCUAUGAUAGUUCAUGUGAGGUUCGUAAUGAGGUUCAUAGAAAUGACUUUUUUGACGUGUUAUGUGAGAUUUUUUGAAAGUCUAUAAGUUGAUGGACCAAAAUGCUCUGCUAGAAAAUUUUACUAAUUAGAAAAGGAAAAAUGGAACUCGU
rnacentral:lncRNA from 1 species